rnacentral:rRNA from 1 species
UAAGCGGAGGAAAAGGAACUAAAUAGGAUUCCCUCAGUAAUGGCGAAUGAACAGGGAUGAGCUCAGGCUGGAAACCGAUACAUCUGUGUCGGGCUGUAGCCUGCAGGCAUAGCGCUAUCGGCGGCUCGAGCGCAAGCCUCUUGGAAUAGAGCGUGUGCCCGGGUGAGAAUCCUGCAUUUCGCUCGAUGUCCGCUGUCCACAGUGCUUGUCCUGAGAGUCACGCUCCUCGGAAUUG